rfam:Triticum aestivum genome assembly, contig: Triticum_aestivum_CS42_TGACv1_scaffold_146214_2BS
CAUCUACUCCCUCCGUUCGAAAUUAAUUAUCACAAAAAUAGAUAAAAAUGAGUGUAUCUACAACUAAAAUUAAUCUAGAUAUAUUCAUUUUUGGACAAGUAAUUUUGAACGGAGGGAGUACUUG